rnacentral:rRNA from 1 species
CAGUCGCCGCGGUAAUACGUAGGUGGCAAGCGUUGUCCGGAAUUAUUGGGCGUAAAGGGCUCGCAGGCGGUUUCUUAGGUCUGAUGUGAAAGCCCCCGGCUCAACCGGGGAGGGCCAUUGGAAACUGGGAAACUUGAGUGCAGAAGAGGAGAGUGGAAUUCCACGUGUAGCGGUGAAAUGCGUAGAGAUGUGGAGGAACACCAGUGGCGAAGGCGACUCUCUGGUCUGUAACUGACGCUGAGGAGCGAAAGCGUGGGGAGCGAACAGGAUUAGAGACCCGCGUAGUCCCUGUCUCUUAUAC